rnacentral:rRNA from 1 species
GAAACAACCCAGACCGUCAGCUAAGGUCCCAAAGUCAUGGUUAAGUGGGAAACGAUGUGGGAAGGCAUAGACAGCUAGGAGGUUGGCUUAGAAGCAGCCACCCUUUAAAGAAAGCGUAAUAGCUCACUAGUCGAGUCGGCCUGCGCGGAAGAUGUAACGGGGCUAAAACUAUGUGCCGAAGCUGCGGAUGUAUACUUUGUAUACGUGGUAGGGGAGCGUUCUGUAAGCCGAUGAAGGUGUGUUGAGAAGCAUGCUGGAGGUAUCAGAAGUGCGAAUGCUGACGUGAGUAACGACAAAACGGGUGAAAAACCCGUUCGCCGAAAGACCAAGGGUUCCAGUCCAACGUUAAUCGGGGCUGGGUGAGUCGACCCCUAAGGCGAGGCCGAAAGGCGUAGUCGAUGGGAAAAUGGUUAAUAUUCCAUUACUUCUGUGUAAUGCGAUGAGAGGACGGAGAAGGCUAAAUCAGCCUGGCGUUGGUUGUCCAGGUGAAAGGAUGUAGGCAUGUAUCUUAGGCAAAUCCGGGGUACUCUAUGCUGAGAUCUGAUAGCAAGCUGUACUUGUACAGCGAAGUGGUUGAUGCCAUGCUUCCAGGAAAAGUCUCUAAGCUUCAGUUACACAGGAAUCGUACCCGAAACCGACACAGGUGGUCAGGUCGAGUAGACCAAGGCGCUUGAGAGAACUCUGCUGAAGGAACUAGGCAAAAUGGUACCGUAACUUCGGGAGAAGGUACGCUGUUGUUGGUGAUGGAACUCGCUUCCUGAGCUGACGACAGCCGCAGAAACCAGGCCGCUGCAACUGUUUAUUAAAAACAUAGCACUCUGCAAACACGAAAGUGGACGUAUAGGGUGUGAUGCCUGCCCGGUGCUGGAAGGUUAAUUGAUGGGGUUAGCGUAAGCGAAGCUCUUGAUCGAAGCCCCAGUAAACGGCGGCCGUAACUAUAACGGUCCUAAGGUAGCGAAAUUCCUUGUCGGGUAAGUUCCGACCCGCACGAAAGGCGUAACGAUUUGGGCACUGUCUCAACGAGAGACUCGGUGAAAUCAUAGUACCUGUGAAGAUGCAGGUUACCCGCGACAGGACGGAAAGACCCCGUGGAGCUUUACUGUAGCCUGAUAUUGAAAUUCGGCACAGCUUGUACAGGAUAGGUAGGAGCCUUUGAAACGUGAGCGCUAGCUUACGUGGAGGCAUUGGUGGGAUACUACCCUAGCUGUGUUGGCUUUCUAACCCGCACCACUUAUCGUGGUGGGAGACAGUGUCAGGUGGGCAGUUUGACUGGGGCGGUCGCCUCCUAAAAGGUAACGGAGGCGCUCAAAGGUUCCCUCAGAAUGGUUGGAAAUCAUUCAUAGAGUGUAAAGGCAUAAGGGAGCUUGACUGCGAGACUUACAAGUCGAGCAGGGUCGAAAGACGGACUUAGUGAUCCGGUGGU